AUGAGGUUUAUUAAUGCCACCCAGCGGGUUGAAAUGCACAAACUGCAGCGUCCGUCCUUUGAACAUGUUGCCUUCGUGUUGGCAAAGGCAGUUUCGGUCACUGCGUCUGUGCAGCACUGGCUCAUUUUGAGAGGCGUCGCCAGCAGAUCGGAUUCAUUUUUAUGGCCAAUAUUUCUUGCAAUGUGGGCUAUUCCCCAGGAAACUCUCCUUACUGUUUUGGUAGAAGGGCCGGCGCAGAGGGGAGCAGCAUCGCGCCAGGCACCACACAGACACAAGCGCUGCCAGAACCGGCCGCACAGGGAGCCAGGACAAAACACAGAUGAAACGUGGGAGGGAUUUGCUUGCCGUGAGCCAGAGGUGGGCACAGCGGGGCCCCGAAUGCACCCCGGCAGCACUGCCCGAACCGGCAUGGGAGCCUCCCGCGAGCCCCGCGGAGGGGUGCGGAGGAGGAAGGCGUUCGCAUGGCUCGCUGCUGACAGGAGCCCGUUUAGGAAACGCAAAUUAUCUCCUGCGCCACUACGGCAGGCUGUAAAGGAGACAAGAUCAAACAGCCGCCUGGCAGGAGAGCAAACAGGAGGGCGGGAAGGGCUGCUUGAUAGGCGAUGGCCGAAGAGGAAAGGGUUAAUGGUUAUCCCUGCUCUUGGCACAUCCCGGCCGGGAUGGCAGCCGGCAACUGCGCACGGCCAUGCCGAGCGCAGCCCGUCAUCUCCAAAGCCCCGCGUGAGUCACGUCGGGGCACCCGGCAGACGCGAGCUCAAAGUGAGCUGGGGAGCCCCGGUGAGGCGAGGCGAGCCGGGGCCGGAGCCAGCGGAGAGCCCUGCCGGCAUGUCCACGGUGCCCCCACCCCGUGAAAUGCCAGGGGCUGAAAAGCCUCUCCAUCAGCUGGCACUUGGGGGCCAGGGUGCACCCCGGGGUGUCCCCACAAAGGCGGGCCGGGGUCACCGGCAUCUCCAGUGCCCUCUUCCCACUGGAAACCCCAGUCUGGCGUGGGAGCCCCUCCGACACCUGCCAGGGCUCCAUGGCUCAGAGAGCUUCUGCUUUGGCAGGAGGCAAAACCAGAGCCCCAAAGGCUUUGGGGGGUCCUGUGGGGAGGUGCAGCGGGGCCCCACGGUGCCGGGCAGCCCGGGGCACAGGACACUCUGGAGGUGGAGCCGGCAUCUGAAAGUGGAUCUGGCUGGGUUUGCUCUCUGUCCUCCCCCGUGCGUGGGGCUGGCCAGCCUGGAGAAGGGUCUGGGAGCCCGCAGACCUGUCCCUGUCCCCCCCAAGCCCCUUUCCCCUACCGCAAAGAAAAGAGGAACUGAAAAUGAAAUUAAAGCAUAAUUCAAUCCGGAGCAGGUCCAGAAUAAAGUCAUCUGCUCUUAUCGUGUGCUGGCA
rnacentral:lncRNA from 1 species